UUAUUUAAGAUGUAAAAUAUUAUAUAUUGGAGUAGUAAUAGUUAUGGUCUUGAAACUCAAAAAAUUUGGCGGUAUUUUAGACUAUUCAGAGGAACCUGUAGUGUAAUUGAUAAUCCACGAUGGACCUUACUUAAAAUUGUAUUUCAGUUUGUAUACCGCCGUUAUUUGAAAAUUUUUUAAGAAAAAUAAUUUUUAGAAAUUUAAAUUAAAAAAUAAAUCAGGUCAAGGUGCAGCUUAUAUUUAAGUAUUUUAUGGGUUACAAUAAAUUUAUUUAAACGGAUUAAAAUAUGAAAUUAAUUUUAUAAAGGUGGAUUUGAAAGUAAAUUUUUAUAGAUUAGAGAAUUGAUUUUAGCUCUAAAAUAUGCACACAUCGCCCGUCGCUCUUGUUAAUAAUAUAAGAUAAGUCGUAACAUAGUAGAUGUACCGGAAGGUGUAUCUAGAAUGACAAUUUAAAGCUUAUAUAGUAAAGUAUUUCAUUUACACUGAAAAGAUUAUUGUGCAAAUCAAUAUAAAUUGAUAAUAUAUAAUUAUUAAUUUUUAUAUUAUAUUAGAAAUAACUAUAUAGGUUUAUUGUUUAAGUAUUUUAUAAAGAAAAAAUUUUUUUAAUUAUAGUGAAUUAGUAAUUUGAAUGAAUUUUGAAAUAAUUGAAAAAUAUAUAAUUUAAAAGAAAAUUUCAUUUA
rnacentral:rRNA from 1 species